rnacentral:rRNA from 1 species
AUUCUUUAAACUUAAAGAAUUUGGCGGUAUUUUAAUCUAUUCAGAGGAACUUGUUUUAUAAUCGAUAGUCCCCGAUAAUUUUUACUAAAUUUAUUUGUAUAUCGUUGUCGAAAGAUUAAAUUUUCUAGAUUUAUAAUUAUGAAAGAUGUCAAAUCAAGGUGCAGUUGAUAAUUUAGAAAAAAUGAGUUACAAUAAAUAUAUUUAGGAUAU